rnacentral:rRNA from 1 species
GCGCCGUGGAACCACCUGAACCCAUGCCGAACUCAGAAGUGAAACGCGGUAGCGCCGAUGGUAGUGUGGCAUUCGCCAUGCGAGAGUAGGAC